AAUAAUUUUACUUGUUUCCUUUAUUUCGUACUUGGCGCCAAAAAUUGAUGGCUAUUUUAUUUUGUCAGCUGACAAUUUAAAAGUUGUUAAAUUUGUUAACUAAAUCUUGUUAAUCAGUAGUGACAAUCUCAAUUGGUUUUAAAAGUGCUCAAGACUUCAUCUGGAUGUGAAUUAGUGUCAAGGGUCAAUCGAUUUUUGCUAUAACCACUCAUCUAAUCUAUUAUUAACUCGAAGUUAACUGUUUUUUCAAUCUAGCGUCAACUUCAGAACUAACAAGUGUCUUAUGACUCAUUUUAGCUAUCAAAGAUGGUCGCAGUCAAGCAAUGACCAUUAAAAGUGCUUUGCUCUAGAGUUUUCAUUUUAAAUUAAUCAGUUUCAUGGUUUAUAAUUCGCGAUUUACUCAAAGUUCAUUAUUUAUCUUCACUCAUUGUUCCAGUUAUUCUUGAAUUAAACAUGAUGUCAGCUGAAUUUGUUGUGCCCUUUCCUGAUCACAUUUCACAUCCUAUCGGUGAUUUUGAUAUCGACGAAAUUCUUUCAAUAGCCACAAUCAAUGGACGGUUAAUUCACUAUGUAAAGCUUAGAGGAGGACAAAAGACGAUGAUACCUUCAUCACUGACCAAUGUUUUGUGUCCCCAUUUGGUAAUUGAAUUUUAUCAAAGUAAAUUAUUUUUUGUCAACAUCUUCAACAACAAACAAAAACCGGCAAAAAAGAUGAAAAGACAACAAGCUCGAAAGUCAACGACGGUAAAAUUCAUCAAGUGCCCAUCUCCACCACCUAAAACUGUGAGAAUCGUUGAACAUGCCAAUCUUUCAGAAGAAUCGAGUAGCAGUGAUGAUUGAGCGUCUCAAUCUACAGAUAAAAUCAAAGAUCUCUUCUAUCAUUUCAUUUUCGUUUCAUUUCCAUUCCAUGUUGCCGAUUUAAAAUCUAUUUUCAUAUCCCAAAGUUUUUCAUUUUGAUAUUCUUUUAUGUCAUUUCCAUAGUUAUUACAUCAUCUUUAGUCAAAUGUUCAUACUCACACUUGUUUAUGAAUAACUUUUCCCAUCUAGUUCUUAUUACUUCAUACAUCAAUUUGUCAUUAUAAUGUUUUUGUUUAAUUUCUUUCUUUUAAUCAAAUUUGAUCCAAGUAAACAUUGAUUUUGUUUAUUGUAAGAUAAAUGACUCACUUGAUUCCACAACGCUUCCAAAAAUUUUCGGAUGAUCUUCAAAAGUGGUACAGUUCCAGCGAUUCCGUCUAAAUUGAUGUUGACACUCAUCUAUACCCAAUUUGGCCCCCUUGCUAAUUGCUUGAAGAAUAUGAUGAUUAAGUUCACAAAGCUGCUUCUGGUUAUCCUCUAAUGAAGAAAGCCCUCUACAGUGAGCUUUAGCUGAUGUCGGUUUGAUUUCUAGUAUUUCUUUAUGAGAUGUUGGUAUUCCUAAUGACCUGGAAAAGGAAAGAAAAAGAAGACAAAAAUUCUGAUGAGUCCAUUUUUAAAACUAUUCAACCUGAGCUGCUCAUUAAAAUACUAAAAGUCCCAAAAAAGGAGCCCCUCUUGUUAGUCAUCUCAAGCAUACAUUUGUAACAUUGUUAACUUUGACCCAAGCAGUGACGAGAAAAUGACUGGUUUGAGAAAAUGUGAUUUCAGGAUCGUGAUGAAGGUUACCUGUGGGAUUAAUUCAUGUAACUAUCAAGAUGGUUCAAUUUGGCCCAACAUUUCAAUCAAAUGGCAAAUAAGAAUUUACAGAAAGAAGAAAAGGAAACAAAAGGAAACGUCUCAAGCGUCCCAUGUUAUUUUUAUGUGAUUUUACAACCAGUCGUUUAAUAAUUGUUCAACAUCACAAACGUCAAGAAUGUUUUUCAAGCAACCAGAAUUACUUUUUUAAUAUCACGACGAUUGGCUGUUAAAAAAAGAUACAAGGAGAGCAAUUGAUAUUCAUCUGUGUUCACCCUGGUUCCUUUAAUGAUGCUACUUAACACUCAUCUUUAUUAGUAGUAGCACUAUUAUUAUGCUUGAGAUUGGCUCAUCUCUUUUUUUCCCUUUAUUUUUGAAAUGUUGAUAUCAAGGAAACGAAAUGAGCAAACAAGAAUCACUUUUUGCUUAUUAUACCCAUGAUACCCUCCGGGGAAACAUUGUUAAUAGCCUUUGCCUAGUUUAAUGGCCAUUUCAUGUGUAAGGUUAACCCACAAUUAGCCAACUUAGAUGCCAAAAAAGAUGAAAAACCUUUCUUUUUUAGCGCUCAUCUUUUUCUUCUUUGCGUAAUAACAACUUGUUCAAAUCAAGUUAACCCUGACAAUCAAAUAGAUUACCUGGAUGACCUGGCUGACCUGGCUGGUAAUUAAUUCGUUGCUUAUGUGCUCAGAGAGUUACUCCAAUACUCAUUUCACUCUAUCUCUAAAAUCAAUUAUGUUUAAAUCGCAUCCUCUUCAUCAUCGUAACAGCUUAAACCAUCUUUUGCUACCAACUUGCUUUCUGAUUUAAUUUCUAUCAUCUUUACUCUUUCUACAAUAUCUUCAUCCUUUUUCACUAUGAUUGGGAUCAUCAAGAAGGAAAGGAAUCGCAAGCAAAGCUGAGUCAACCUUAAAAAUUAGAUGAACCAUGUAUGAUUAGGAACAAUGAGAUUGACAUGAUUGGCUUUAUCGUUAAAGUAGACCCUGUUGAACAAAGUAAAAUGGAUAAUGAUUCGGUGAAUGAUGAAGGUACUUCACAAUUGUAAGAAAAGGAAUCCAAUAAAUGGUUGUUCAGCUUGGUAUUACCAUAAUUUGAUGUUAUUAUCAUCAAGCAUUUUUUUCUAUUGUCAAGUACAUUCAACUUUCAAGUAAAAUAUCUCACUGAUUUAGCUAAAAAUAUGGUUCAAGGAGAAAAAGCCAAAAGUUUUUUUUUCGACGAGAAAAAAAACGAGGUAAACUAAUAUAACAGAGAAGCGAAAUGUAGCUCGCAAAUGAAUGGAUAGUUAAUGGAUAGAGCAUUAUGCAAAAAAUACUCCUUUUAUCGGGUUGUUGUCAGGGAAAAGGACAAAUCUCGAAAGAUGUGAUAUUAACAAAACAAUGGAGACAAAGACGAUGAUAAACUGUUCAACAUUGGACACACAAAAAAAAUCUCAGAUGUUUUUGUGGUUUCCUGUCUUUUUUUGUUUCUUGAUAUAUUUUUCCUGUUCUUGAUUCAUUGCUAAACCAUUUUCUUCCACUUCAUUAUUCCUUUUCUUCCCACAGGUAUUUCUUUAUUGACCUUCCUCAUGAAUUUCAAAAUGAGUAACUUUGGCAUCUUUCUAUUCUGUCCACUUAUUAGCUUGAUUUAAACAAAUUGGGUGAUAAAUUGCCAAUUAUAGAGAUACUGUUGAGAGCCAUUUCAGCUACCAGAAUAGACUUGGACAGUCUUGACCUUUCAUCAUUUGUUCCUUCCUCAUGCUGUUGUAGAUACAAUCAGGAAAGCGAUACCAAUAUUGUAAUGUUAAAGUAUCAAGAAUAAAUCAGAGAUCUCUUCAUAACUCUGUUAAAGGUGAAUGGGAGUGAAACAGUUUAGUAAAAGAAGUGCUGUUACUAAAGAGCCAUGUUUUUUUGAUAAAACAGUUGUAAGUUGAACUUGGAAAUUAUCGAGAAAAAUAGGCCAAGUUAGUGGGAAAAAACCAGAAAAAAAGGGAAGAAAAAAACAGUCAACUGUAAUACAAGUAAAACACAAGGAGCAAAUAGUGCAAAAUUGUAUGAGCGGAUACAAUUUUGUUCAACAAGGAGGGAUAAACAUGGUGAUAUUGAUGGUGAUAAUGAUGAUGAUGGUCAUUUUCUCGGCCGAAGUGAAGUCAAGUGAGUCAGGGCAAAAGAUUAGUGGUAAUGUUGGAAGGCGAUUUAUUGAAGAGUGAACAGGAAAAAAAAUAGAGGGAAAGGAAAGGCCAAUGGUUACUCUGUAAACGGUCAUUGGUAGAGGAAAAAAGAAACCAACUGGCGUUGGUUAAAUGACCUUUAAUCAAGAGUUAUGACCAAUGUUAACAAUAAUAAGUCAUCAUUAAAUGGACAAUAAUUUAACAGAGCAGAAAAACACAUCCUAAGAUAUUUUAAGCACAAGAGAAAACAAAUAAACAAACAAGAGAAACAAUUAAGGUUACACAUUGACAGUUUUGUUUGAUCCACAGUUUAAUAAAAGUCCAAUGGAGAUAUGGAUCCAUAUAGAUGGAUCAAAGACUUGCCAAGGAUCAUUAUCAGCUGCAAAACCCGAGUUAACUCGGAGUGAGUUUUACUAUCAAAUUGAUUAUCGUGAUUUACAACACUCAAAAUACCUAGUAAUGCUGAUUAAUUUUUGCUCAUUUUUCUCAAAUCAUGUAUCUAUACAAUAAAGUAUUUGUGUUAAUAGUUUACUGUGUUACAAAAGUGUUUCAAACAGUAACAGUAAAAGUAAGCAACAACUUUCAAACAAAAUUGGAUAAGCUCAACAAUGGAAGAGAUCAUAAAAGUCAACUUACGGCCAGUUCAAGGCUUGAUUUUUGUUCAAACCUUCAUCAGUUAAUAGCCGGCAAUUAUCUCCACCACCUUUACUGUGAUUACCUUUACCUUUUCCAGUUUCUGGCCUUGUUAUUACAUCUACACCUUGGAAGAUGAUAAAAGGAUUCCUUAAACAGUUGCCUUUUUUUAUUGCAAGCGAAAUGGCUCAACUCAUCUUUUUACACUUUUAACAAUCUUAUUACACUUUUUAACUGUUAAAUCUUUAACAAUUUGCAUUAUAGCUGAUCGUGUUGCCUCAUUACUGCCUAAGGUGAUAGAGAAAGGCGAAAAUCAUGAUCUAUUGUAAAAAUCAAAUAUCUUUACAAAGAUAAAUUUCAUUUGAGCAAGUUAAUGUAUUAGCUAUUAGGCUACUAGUUUCACAGGCCUUUCUGGCAAAGUACAUUUGCUAUCGAAAUUAAAGUUGACCUUGUCCACUCCA